rnacentral:rRNA from 1 species
GUCCACGCGGUAAACGAUGUGCACUGGGUAUGGCGGGAGUUGACCCCUGCCGUGCCGGCGCUAACGCAGUAAGUGCACCGCCUGGGGAGUACGGCCGCAAGGCUAAAACUCAAAGGAAUUGACGGGGCCCCGCACAAGCAGCGGAGCGUGUGGUUUAAUUCGACGCAACGCGCAAAACCUUACCAGGGUUUGACGUCUCCGGAACCUGGCUGAAAGGCUGGGGUGCCCGCAAGGGAGCCGGAAGGCAGGUGUUGCAUGGCUGUCGU